ensembl:lncRNA
GUGUGUGUAGUGUGUGUAGUGUGUGUAGUGUGUGUGUGGUGUGUGUAGUGUGUGUAGUGUGUGUAGUGUGUGUGUGGUGCAACCAGGCUGUUCAGUGUGUAGUGUGUGUGUGUGUGUAGUGUGUGUGUGGUGCAGCCAGGCGGUUCAGUGUGUAGUGUGUGUGUGGUGUGUGUAGUGUGUGUGUGGUGUGUGUAGUGUGUGUGUGGUGCAGCCAGGCUGUUCAGUGUGUAGUGUGUGUGGUGUGUGUAGUGUGUGUAGUGUGUGUAGUGUGUGUAGUGUGUGUGUGGUGUGUGUAGUGUGUGUAGUGUGUGUAGUGUGUGUGUGGUGUGUGUAGUGUGUGUAGUGUGUGUAGUGUGUGUGUUGUGUGUGUGGUGUGUGUAGUGUGUGUAGUGUGUGUGUGUAGUGUGUGUAGUGUGUGUAGUGUGUGUAGUGUGUGUAGUGUGUGUGUGGUGUGUGUAGUGUGUGUAGUGUGUGUAGUGUGUGUGUGUAGUGUGUGUAGUGUGUGUAGUGUGUGUAGUGUGUGUGUAGUGUGUGUAGUGUGUGUGUGUGGUGCAGCCAG